GGAGGAUGUGGAAGCCAUCGUGUCCUUGCUUCUUGGUAUGUGGUUUUUUAUCACAGCAAGAAGGAAAACUUUGUUUCGGAAAAGGCUGCUUAUAGCAAGACGUAAUACAGAAGAAGCUGAGGGGAGACUUAUGGCAAUCGUACAACGCGGCAGAGACUACUCCAGGACGACUCAACGACAACGCUACUCGAAGUUAGGUUGCCACCGCAGACCAUGUGUUUGGAUGCUUGACCGAGCAACCGAGUGGUGGGGUGUGAUUGUUCCAUCUUUCACACACACUCAGGAUGUCUGAGGAAACCUACGUAUACCUGUGCAACAAACUGCGGCCAGCGAUGGAGACAGGACACACCAUUCCGCGAGUGUAUACCUCUAAAGAAGAGGGUGGCCAUCGCAAUGUGGAAGCUUGCGACCGGCUUAGAGUUUGAUGCGCUACCUGAAAAGCUACAUAUUCAUUGUAUACAGGAAACUUGAAUGUUUUUGGUUCAUAACAUCAUGGUUCAGUAAGUUGAUAUACAUUUCUUGUGUUUGUCAUUAUAAACACGACAUUGAAAGAUUGUGGGCCAUUAAGGCUAGUGACAUUUUGUUUUGUUUUUAUUAUUACUACAUUGUAUUGAACAUAAAUAAAUCUAUUUUUCUCUUUCA